AACGAACGCUGGCGGCAGGCUUGCACAUGCGAGUCGAACGCAUCCUUCGGGGUGAGUGGCAGACGGGCGAGUAACGCGUGGGAACGUGCCCUUCAGUUCGGGAUAACCCAGGGAAACUUGGGCUAAUACCGGAUACGUGCGAGAGCAGAAAGAUUUAUCGCUGAAGGAUCGGCCCGCGUCUGAUUAGCUAGUUGGUGGGGUAAUGGCCCACCAAGGCGACGAUCAGUAGCCGGUCUGAGAGGAUGAUCAGCCACAUUGGGACUGAGACACGGCCCAAACUCCUACGGGAGGCAGCAGUGGGGAAUAUUGGACAAUGGGCGCAAGCCUGAUCCAGCCAUGCCGCGUGAGUGAUGAAGGCCUUAGGGUUGUAAAGCUCUUUCGUCCGGGACGAUAAUGACGGUACCGGAAGAAGAAGCCCCGGCUAACUUCGUGCCAGCCGCCGCCGUAA
rnacentral:rRNA from 1 species